rnacentral:rRNA from 1 species
UACAGAGGUCUCAAGCGUUGUUCGGAUUCAUUGGGCGUAAAGGGUGCGUAGGCGGCGCGGUAAGUCGGGUGUGAAAUCUCGGAGCUUAACUCCGGAACUGCAUUCGAUACUGCCGUGCUUGAGGACUGGAGAGGAGACUGGAAUUUACGGUGUAGCGGUGAAAUGCGUAGAUAUCGUAAGGAAGACCAGUGGCGAAGGCGGGUCUCUGGACCGAUACUGACGCUGAGGAGCGAAAGCGUGGGGAGCGAACAGG